CCGGCACUUGGUGUUCCCGAGGACUGCACCGGCAGUCGGUGAGGCUUGCAGCGUGCCCGGAAAACAGGGGUGUGCUUUGGAGGCUACGUCGGUGCAGCAGUCAGUAUGAUAUCGAAAGGGAAAACAGGAAUGUUUAAACGCACAGGAUCUACUAUAUUUACAUCAUUAACUGACAGAUGCCAACCUAUAUUGGGAAGUUUCUCAGGUACACAAUAUGGACCCCAAUCUGAAGUCAGAAUUUGAAGCUCACACAUACAGACUGACAUUGCUGGCCACUGUGACUGCAUGAAUGUCUGCAACUGUAUGAAUGUCAGCAAAAAUAGACCUGAGGAGUUAGGCAUCCUUCACCAGUUACUCAUUCAGAAUUAACUCAGUUCAGAAUUACAGAUUCAUUGUAAGAGGAAGUGGAACACCAGUGGUUUACAUGGAAUUUCAGAGUUUUAAUCUUGGAGUUUUAAUCUAGGAGCUUUCUAGCACUCUAAUUUGCUAACCCAAGAUACCACAGUUAGGUACUACUACACUGUAUUUCUUGCACCUUGGCAUGAAGCAGAUAUGAAGCAUCCCUCUGCUGAAUGGGAUGGUUUGUGACAGUUCCUGGGGAGGCAAGCAUAGCCAGACAAGGGCUUCAGCUGCCAGGAAAGCCCCAGGUUCUGGCAGGGAAAAUUAGGGUAUCUACCUUGUCAUGGAGUGUGUGCUCUCAGCCUGCCAAUACGUGGAAUUGCUUCACUGAAACUUCAAAGGUACUAAGGACACUGAGGUUUGUUUGCUUCCUUGCUUGUUUAAAAAAAGAUAGUAGCGCGGUUCUGUUUAUUUUUUCAUGACAGAGUUAUAUUAAAGUUCACAUACUCCCUGAAGGUCAAAAACACUAUGUUGAAUUCUGAGUGCUCUGGGCCUGAACUUGUGUGCAUAUGCCAUAUCAUGUGCUUAAUGUAUGACAAAGUAUCACAGAGCUUUCUACUGGCCUAUCAGUCAGUUGUGAUAGUAGUCUGUGAUACAGACCAGUCAGAAAUCUACUGCUUCAUUCAGUAACAGGCUCGAGUGCGUAGAGCUACGUUGCUGCCUUUUUUCAGCCAUUGUUGCUUCUUGUUUUAUGGUUCUGUAUCUGGGAUACAGAUCUUUUCCUAGCAGUUUUCCAGUCUGGAAAAGUCUUACUUGCCCUCUAUGGUUGAGAAGGGUUGCUUACAGCUUGGGAAAUGCUGAGGACAACUGGUGUGUCCUUGCCCUACAUCUGUUUCUGCUUAGCCUCCAACUGGGUAAACAGGUACAUAGGAUUGAUUCAGGCUGUUUUUCAUGUUGUUCUCAUGAUCUUAGUAUAAUCUAACACACUUCCACUGUUAGGUAAUUGCAAAUGCAGCCUUACUUUGAGAUUGUUUACAGCCUGACUAGCUAGAUUUUACCCUGCCAGUCUUUCUUGUAAUUCCCAACAGUAGUCUCAUAUAUCAAUAUUAUACAAUGAAAAAACACUGGAUUGGCAACAGUAAAAUGAAUAAGCAUUCUGUAUUUAUUCUACAGUUUAUCUGGAGUCCUCUGCUGCAUUUUAUCUGAUGUUUAUUUUAUUCUAAUCCAACCUUGUUUUCUUGCUUGAAUAAAAACACUUAGUGCCUU